rnacentral:lncRNA from 1 species
CAGAACAGGCCAUGUCACAGGACUGGUUCACACAGUAGAAGGGACUUGUCUAAAGCUCAGGUACUCUUUGGAUCUCUACGCAGGCAGAAAACCCUGUUCCUAAUGGAGCCAGCCAUGGGUGCAGUCCCAGCACAUAUUGGAAAGAAAAAAAAAGGCUUUGGACUUCUUUCAAAACAAUUAGGAUCAGAUCUGAUAGAAGAAAACCCCCUGAAAAUCUUGGCUGCAGGCAGUAGGAAAAUAUGAAGACCAAACAGGACAGGUGACAUGACUUGCUGAUGCCUUUAUGGAAUGAAACAACAAAAGAGGGCAGCCCUGACCAGAUUCACCCUCGGGGAUGCUAAGAUGACCUGCUGUUCUAGCUCCCUGCCUGAUCCUGCCUCAACUGAUGCUGCUGCCAGAACAGCUUCAGAAAGGGCUGCUUAAUCCCUGAUGACUCAGUUCAUCCAGCCUUUCAGACUCUUCCAGUCGGGACUUCAGUUAAGCCCUGAACACUCUCAACACACAACGACUAGACAAUAAAUAACACCAGCGAGCUUGAUCUCUCCUGGCCAGAUGAGAGACCCAGGAAUCAACAGGCUGAGAAUAUUCCUGACUUUUAGGAGCUGAUUGUCCUAAAGAAAAGAUUUCCUAAGCUCCAUCCACGUCUCCACUGAAUGCUGUGUUGCUUUGAAAUUUCAUCAGCCCAACAAACUCAUCCACCCUUGUGAAUUCAGCCUCACUCAGAAGUGUAGUGCACCAGCACAGAGGAGCCAUGUUCUCCAGCAGGGUGUUCUCGGAAAUGGCCUUCAGUUGGAUUUCUGAUCAAGCUCUCUCUUCUCUCCUGGAGCCUCAUGAACGUAGCCUUCACUUCUCUCAACAUUCUGGCCUUCCACAAUCUCUUCUACAGGAUCACCUGCUCCACUCUGUUUGUGGUGUUUGAGGGCUUCUCUGGCCUGUGUAGCUACAAACUCUUCUACAUUCCUCUCCCAAACCACUUCCAACACACCAUUAGUCAUAUGUCUAGGUUAUCACAGCAACUCCCCUUACCAGUGCCACUAUCAAUAGUCUUCUCAUGGUGCUGAUGUAAAACCUGACAGAAGACUAUGUUUUGACUCAUGUCUUGAGAAGUACAGUCCAGCAUGGUGAACAAAUCAUGGGCUGCAUUUGGUUUGUGGCAGACAGGAGCCAAAGAGGAACUUGCCAGAACUAGAAUCGGGCUUCAGGACAAAAGGCCUGCACCACAACAAACCACUUCCUUCAGCUGGGAAUCAUAUUCAAACAGUUCCACAGCCUCCCAAAACAGUGCCACCAGCUUGAGACUAAGUUCCCAAACUAAUGAGCCAUCCUUUGAAUCAUACUCAAAGCAUGACAUGUGUGAACCAGUCUUUACACAUUCAUAUACUGGAUGCAGACACAUCUAAUAUAUACAUACAGGUGAGGUGGUUCUAUACAAUUUUAUUGGACUAGAAAAUCUGCAGCCUAGUGACUGAUUGAAGAACAAUACACUACUUGUCUGUGGUAAUGCUAUGAUCAAAAAUCAAAGUGCUGGUGGGGACUGAAGAGAUGGGGGUCACAUGCCAAGACCCCUCAAGUUAUAAUUUUCCUGAUUUCAAAAUGGAGUGAACAGACCUAUCAAGUCCUGCUCACUCCUGCAGCUCAGUCCUGCCUGCCUUGUGUUCAGAACACUUAAACUAAUCACACUGAGGCAAAGCCAUGCCACCCAAAGCCUAAUUUAUACUUAAGUGCUCAAUAUUAAACAUAGUCCGCAUAAAAUGGAAGAGCGACUCCCAGUUCUCAGCAGCCAUCUCUCCCAAGAGCUUGGAGG